CUCAGCCAACGGUGGUCUUUCUCUGGGUUGCUCUCUUGCACCGAGCAUCCAACAUAAUUUUCCGCAUCGCCGUAAAGGGCUCCAACACUUCAGUCCAAACGAAGGUGUGUGCGUGGUCUGGUUAACAUGCUAAAUGCUAACGUGCUCAUGAUGGAUCCUCCAGCGGUGACUUCUGAUUUAACUGAGGAACUUUUACCUGUGAUGAGGUGUGUGACACUUCAGCUCAACAUGUUUGAAAAAGUUAAGGGACACACUAGGAGACAGAGACUGCGUACUAGGACCGAGAGGCUGAGUGGACUGGAUAUUUUACACUUUGGGAACUGAAUACGUUGAACCUUCAUGGUGCACAAGACUCUCCUUCAGACAGUGUCCCAGGGUUCCAGGGGGAGGGAUGAGAGAAGGUCAGUCUCUCUGCUGCUGAGCACAGUCAGUGGGGGUCUCCUUCUCCUGGGGACCCUCAGCCUUGGUUCAAGUCACUUUCUGUAUCGCUAACGCAGCCCUCUGCUGUCGCCGUGGCCCACCAGCCUCCCUCCGAUCAGACCUUGGCCUCCGAUCAGAC